rnacentral:tRNA from 1 species
GAGAUGGCUCAGAGGUUAAGAGCACUGACUGCUUUUCCAGGGGUCCUGAGUUCAAUUCCCAGCAACUCA